CGUACUUCGUCCUGUUCAUGAAUCCCGUUGUUCCUCAUCAUGUUCAUGUAUCUCGUCAUUCCUCGUCAUGUUCAUGUGUCCCGUCACCUCUCGCCACGUUCCUCGAUUUGUUUUAGCAAACAGCAGAGGAGGCAGGUGGCUUGACUGACUUAACUGUGAAACUACAAUAAGCACAGUCUUGAGAUAUCAAGAAAAAAGACCAAGAACACGUUUUUUGAAGCCACCUUGACCUUUGACCACCAAAAUCCACCAAAUUUAUUGAGAUAUUGCUUUCACGGGAAUGGGACGUACAGACAGACGGACAACCUGAAAGCAUAAUGCCUCCGGUCACAGGCUAUUGCCGGCGCAGAGGAAUAAAAAGUGCUGGCAGCACAGUCAAGAAGGCAACAUAACUGUUGUAAAAGUAUCCAUUUAGCACUGGAAUUGGAAAAAACAAAUGAUACCCAACCCUAUUUAAAAGGUAGUUGGUCUGUAUUUAUAUAGCACUCUUCUAGUCUUGAUGACCACUCAAAUGGCUUUGCAGGAGAGUUUUGCCAUUAACACACACAUUCAUACAGUGCACCUAUGGGCAGCACAUUUUUCUAUGAGGGGCCAUUCAGGGUUCAGUAUUUACAAGUUCAGUAUUUACAAGUGAUUGCUUUCAUAGUGUCACAUUGUUUUCACAUUGAUUAUAGUCACACAUGGGUAUAGCAGUAAAGAAGUUGUAGAACAUUAACUGAACCUUUCUUUUUCACUACGUGCCUGAACUUAUCGGCCGUGUCCUAGCUUGUCCUGUUACUGUUACUGUGGAUCAGGUGAGAAUGUGGCCAAAGCCUGUUUAUUUCGACUCCCAAGGAAGUUUCAGGGUCAACCAUUAAUAUGUCUAAAAGUGGUCUAGCCCCAGGUGAAGAAUAUUGAAGUGAGCAGCAACAAAAGCUGCAGAGAUAAGUCAGAGCCAAGGACAAACAGAUUGGCACGCUCUAUUCAGAUGCCAGAGCGGGAGACUAUGAGAUUAUCUGUAAACAUGAAUUCUUCCUCCAAUAUUUGAUGGGGGCUGAAAAAGAUCCAUAUUUCGCUGGAGAGACCUGUGAUGCACACACAGAAUUGAUUAAAAGGUCUUAAAAAAAUUGAAACAUCAUUAUUCAGGCACUACAGAGCUUGCACACACACAAACUGCAGGGGGUUAAAGGGACACUGAAGAAAAGAAGCGUACACAUGUGCUUGUGUGUACGCAUGUCUAUUUGUGUUCAGUACAAUUCAGCCCUGCAGACGCACUUGAGGGCGUCGUGUUGGCAUGACGGUCAGAAUUCAUUGAGACUCUCCUACCAAGGGGAACCUAGGAAACCUGCUGUUUAUCAAAAUAUGGGCAAAAUAUGAUUCAAUGUUUUCAUCAUGUGACUUUAUUUGAUACAGUACUGCAUUGCCUAGUUUAUCCAAGGACGUAUAAAAAGAAAUGUUCAACUCGGUCUGUAGACUGAACACUGCCCUGCCCCUGAUGACUGCUCUAGAGCAUUGGUCCCCUGUUUGUUCCAUUUUAUUAAUACUGCGCAGACCUAUUUCAUAUAAGUGUGGGGGCCCUAAGGGUGGGAAUGAGCACUGUAACCCCCCUCCCCUUGAAAUGUCUAUUUGAAAUGUCUAUUUGAAAUGAAUGUCAUGCAUUUCUACAUUUUCUUCACCAUAUGCAAAUAAUAAUGAGUUCAAAAUGUACAGUGCAUCACCAAGUAUAAAGCAUAAAGCAAUCACAGUUUAUUUUAUUGUCUGUUUAAAUUAACACAGUUUUCCAUAUUGUUGUGGUUCAGGAGUUGAGAAGGAGUUGAUCUAGUCUCUG